AGAACGAACGCUGGCGGCAGGCCUAAAACAUGCAAGUCGAGCGCCCAGCAAUGGGAGCGGCGGACGGGUGAGUAACACGUGGGAAUGUACCUUUCGGUACGGAACAACGCAGGGAAACUUGCGCUAAUACCGUAUGCGCCCUUACGGGGAAAGAUUUAUCGCCGAAAGAUCAGCCCGCGUUGGAUUAGCUAGUUGGUGAGGUAACGGCUCACCAAGGCGACGAUCCAUAGCUGGUUUGAGAGAACGACCAGCCACACUGGGACUGAGACACGGCCCCAGACUCCUACGGGAGGCAGCAGUUGGGAAUCUUGGACAAUGGGGAAACCCUGAUCCAGCCAUGCCGCGUGAGUGAUGAAGGCCUUCGGGUUGUAAAACUCGUUUCGACGGGGACGAUAAUGACGGUACCCGUAGAAGAAGCUCCGGCUAACUUCGCGCCAGCAGCCGC
rnacentral:rRNA from 1 species